rnacentral:misc_RNA from 1 species
AAAAACCUCUCUUCAUUCCCUUCCGCCGUUCUCAAUUUUGCGAUCGAUGAGUCUCAUUAGUCGUUAUACUCACUGAAAUCAAUCCGUUUUCUGCUUAAUUUUGUAUUGACUUGUUUGCUGCUGGUUUACCGACAUGGCGAAAGCUAUAAGCCUCGAAGAGAUCAAAAAUGAGACUGUUGAUCUGGAGAAAAUCCCCAUUGAAGAAGUGUUUGAACAACUGAAAUGUUCGCGAGAGGGUCUGACUUCGGACGAAGGAGCCAACAGGCUUCAA